rnacentral:rRNA from 1 species
UACGAAGGGGGGCUAGCGUUGCUCGGAAUCACUGGGCGUAAAGCGCACGUAGGCGGCUUUUUAAGUCAGGGGUGAAAUCCUGGAGCUCAACUCCAGAACUGCCUUUGAUACUGAGAAGCUUGAGUCCGGGAGAGGUGAGUGGAACUGCGAGUGUAGAGGUGAAAUUCGUAGAUAUUCGCAAGAACACCAGUGGCGAAGGCGGCUCACUGGCCCGGUACUGACGCUGAGAUGCGAAAGCGUGGGGAGCAAACAGG